GGAUUAGAUACCCUGGUAGUCCACGCCGUAAACGAUGGGUACUAGUUGGUGCGGGUGUUGACCCCUGCGCUGACAAAGCUAACGCAUUAAGUACCCCGCCUGGGGAGUACGGCCGCAAGGCUAAAACUCAAAGGAAUUGACGGGGGCCCGCACAAGCGGUGGAGCAUGUGGAUUAAUUCGAAGCAACGCGAAGAACCUUACCUAGCCUUGACAUCCUUGGAACUCUCCCGAAACGGAGAGGUGCCCUUCGGGGAAUCAAGUGACAGGUGCUGCAUGGCUGUCGUCAGCUCGUGCCG
rnacentral:rRNA from 1 species